rnacentral:lncRNA from 1 species
GCGUCUCAACACACCGGCCGGGCGUCCACUUACACGGGCAUGGUGGGAGGCCGCGGCGUCUCGGCGCAAGACAGGCAAUCACACACCGGCGACGAAGGAAGCGCGCCAGACGGUGUUUUGACCACGUCAGCAAGAGCAGCGCCGAGGAAGUCGGCAGCGCGCGCACACUCGCAGCUGUUCAAUCUUUCUUCGUUCCGCUGGCUGCCUUCGUAGCGUGCCCGGUAAGCCGACGACGCGCGUGCCACGGGUCCGGCUCGUCUCGCUCCAAACAAUGCCGAGCAGUGAAAGCAAAUGUUGAGUGCGCAAACAAAGCUGACGUGGAGACCGUCAUCAAAAUAUGGCUGCGCCACGCUGAAGAGAAACUGAAAAAGCUGCAGUCAAAGGCCGGAAAUGUUCGACAUAAUGAUCCCGCUGACUAUUCGGACUAGUGCUGGC